AAUCAACGCUGGCGGCGUGCCUAACACAUGCAAGUCGCACGAGAAAGCGGGCUUCGGCCUGCGAGUAAAGUGGCGCGCGGGUGAGUAACACGUGAAUCAUCUACCUCCGAGUGGGGAAUAACCUAGAGAAAUCUGGGCUAAUACCGCAUAACACUUACGAGUCAAAGCAGCAAUGCGCUUGGAGAGGAGUUCGCGGCAGAUUAGUUAGUUGGCAGGGUAAUGGCCUACCAAGACGAUGAUCUGUAUCCGGCCUGAGAGGGCGCACGGACACACUGGAACUGAAACACGGUCCAGACUCCUACGGGAGGCAGCAGUGGGGAAUUUUGCGCAAUGGGGGAAACCCUGACGCAGCAACGCCGCGUGGAGGAUGAAAUCCCUUGGGAUGUAAACUCCUUUCGAUCGGGACGAUUAUGACGGUACCGGAAGAAGAAGCCCCGGCUAACUUCGUGCCAGCCGCCGCAGUAAGAC
rnacentral:rRNA from 1 species